GCUGUCCGUUGCCAGGAAGAGGCUUGUGCCGUUAUUCUGCUGGAACAUGGCGCCAAUCCAAACCUUAAGGAUAUCUACCGCAACACUGCUCUCCAUUAUGCCACGUGUAGUGAGAGCACCUCACUGGCAGAAAAACUGCUUUCCCAUGAUGCAGAUAUUGAAGCACUGGACAAGGUAUAGAUCAAUCAAUUUUCUUCUCAAAAUAUUUGUUUUAACGUUGACAUAGGUAAGGGUCAA
rnacentral:sRNA from 1 species